AGCGAACGCUGGCGGCAUGCUUAACACAUGCAAGUCGCACGGUCAGCAAUGGCAGUGGCGGACGGGUGAGUAACGCGUAGGGUAUCUAUCCUCGGGUGGGGGGGACAACCACGGGAAACUGUGGCUAAUACCGCAUGAUGACUGAGGUCUAAAGGCGCAAGUCGCCUGAGGAGGAGCCUGCGUCCGAUUAGCUAGUUGGUGGGGUAAAGGCCUACCAAGGCGACGAUCAGUAGCUGGUCUGAGAGGAUGAUCAGCCACAUUGGGACUGAGACACGGCCCAAACUCCUACGGGAGGCAGCAGUGGGGAAUAUUGGACAAUGGGCGAAAGCCUGAUCCAGCAAUGCCGCGUGUGUGAAGAAGGUCUUCGGAUUGUAAAGCACUUUUGGCAGGGACGAUGAUGACGGUACCUGCAGAAUAAGCCCCGGCUAACUUCGUG
rnacentral:rRNA from 1 species